UGUACCAAACUAGAUGCUAGGUUUAUAUUAACCCCCGCUGUACCAAACUAGAUGCUAGGUUUAUAUUAACCCCGCUGUACCAAACUAGAUGCUAGGUUUAUAUUAACCCCCCAUGUACCAAACUAGAUGCUAGGUUUAUAUUAACCCCCCAUGUACCAAACUAGAUGCUAGGUUUAUAUUAACCCCCGCUGUACCAAACUAGAUGCUAGGUUUAUAUUAACCCCCCAUGUACCAAACUAGAUGCUAGGUUUAUAUUAACCCCCCAUGUACCAAACUAGAUGCUAGGUUUAUAUUAACCCCCCAUGUACCAAACUAGAUGCUAGGUUUAUAUUAACCCCCCAUGUACCAAACCAGAUGCUAGGUUUAUAUUAACCCCGCUGUACCAAACUAG